AAAAAAAAAAAAAAAGAGAAAAAUAAAUAAACUGUAUUACAUAGAAGUUGUGUUUAUAUAUAUAUAGAGUCCGGCUACUAUACUCUUAUGAGUACGAUCGCCCUCGUACUUAUAAGUUGUUUUCGAUGAUAGAGCAUCUGAAUCGACGAUCUACACCGUUAAAUGUUAUUUAGAGCAUUUAAAACGUUUAGAAAUCAAAUUUCAUAAUUUUUCGACAUCAUUACCUUACGAUCAAAAGGUCAUAAAAUUGACAAUUUUUAACGGCCAAUAUGGAAUAUUUGCUAGUUUAACGGUGUAAAAGAAUCGAAAUCAGUUGAAUUUUUGAUAGAAAAUUUUAUUNAGCACUAUUGCUUUUGAGUUUUUAGCCAUUGGAUGGAGAGAUGUGAGGUUGAGAUGAUGAUGGUAGAUGGUGGUGGGUGGAAUAGUGUUUGAUCCAAAGGCUAUUAGUAAUCAAGGAGUAGAUCCAAAGGCUAAAAAUUUAGAAUCACCAAGAGGUUAGUGCUUAUAAAAAUAUUCUAGCUCAAUUAUAUAUAUAUAUAUAUAUAUAUAUAUAUAUAUAUAUAGAGGCUACGGCUAUGAGUAUAGAGCCCUUCAUACUCAUAAGUUGUUUUCAAUGAUGGAGAUUCUGAAUCGACGAUCCGCUCCGUUAAAUAUGAUCUAGAGUAUUUUUAACUUUUAGAAAAUAAAUUUCGUAAUUUUUCGAAAUCAUAAUAAAAUUCAUCAAGCAGGUAUAAAAUGAAGGGUCGAAAUCGAACGACGUCUUAAAAAUGGAUGAUCAGAUCCUUCAAUUUAAGAUCGGAGUUAUUGAAAAUUCAUCAAGCAGGUGUAAAAGAAUCGAAAUCAGUUGAAUUUUUGAUAGAAAAUUUUAUUUACUAUAUAGAUAAAGAUCAAUAACUCCGAUCUUAAAUUGAAGGAUCCAAACAUCCAUUUUAAAGACGUUGUUCGAUUUUGACCAUUCAUUUUAUACCUGCUUGAUGAAUUUUAUUAUGAUUUUGAAAAUUUAUGAAAUAUAUUUUCUAGAAGUUUCAAAUACUCUAAAUCACAUUUAACGGAGUAGAUCGUCAAUUUGGGAGCUCUAUCAUUAAAAACAACUACUAUUUUGGUUCAAAGGAUAAAGGAAGAAUAAGGAAUUUAUUCCUCUUAUUCUUCCAAACGGUGUCAAAAUUGCCAAGAACUACUAUUCUCCUCUUAACGGGUUAUUCCGGAAUAACCUAUUAAGAGGGGAGAAUAGUAGUUCCACCUAUUGGGUUGAACAAGUUAUUCUCUACCUUAUUUCUCUACUAAUUAAAUUAUAAAUAAUUAUAAAUUAUAAUUAAUUAAUGCAAUUAAAUUUUUUUAAUAAUUGACUAAUUAAUUAUUUAAGUUAUUAAAUUAAUAAAUAUUUAAAUAAUAGUCUAUUUAUAAUUUAUUAUUAUUUAUCUAAUUAAAUAGUUAGCCAUAUAUUCAAUUAUUAACUAAUAUUUAUAUUAUUUAAAUAAUUAGUAUUUUAAUUUAUAUAAUUAAUAUAUUAACAAAAAAAAAAUGAUUAAAUAAUUAAUUACUAUUAAUAUGUUGAAUUAUUUUUUAUAGUUAUUUACUAAUUAAUGUCAUCUUUGACAUCUCAUAUAGUAAUUUUAAUUAAUUUAUAAAGUAAUUUUGAUUAAUUUAUUUAUUAACUUAUUAAAAUAUUAUUUACUAAUACUUUGAAAAUAAAACUAAUUUAUCUCUUAUCCCUACUAUUCCCCCCAAUCAACCAAACGUAAUUUUUCUUAUUCCUCUAAAUAUCUCGAUUCUCGUCCAAACACAAAAUUGAAUUAAUUCCUACCUAUCCCAGAAGUUAUACCUAUCCCAAGAAUAAACAAAAAUAACUUGUUCUCGAGCCAAACGGUACCAUAGAGUAUAGAAGCCUUAGCCUAUAUAUAGAGUUGAGCUAGAAUAUUAUCGGUAGCAAACAGGCUCCGUUGCCACCCAUUUGUUUUCAAUGAUGGAGCCUCCAAAUCGACGAUCGGCAUCGUUGAAUAUGAUCUAUACCACUUGAAGUAUCUAGAAACCAAAUUUUAAAUCUUUUCGACAUCAUGGACCUAAUGAUCAAAGGGUUUCAAAAUUUAUAAUUUUAAAGGUUGAUAUGAGACAUUUUCUCAUUUAACGAUAUAAAGAUAUCCAAAUCGAUUGAAUUUUGGUUAGAAAAUUCUUUAAACUAUUUAGAACAAGAUCUAUACUCUUGAUCUUGAUUAGAAAUUUUCUAUCAUCACUUUUUAAAGAAUUUUCAUUUUCAGCCGUUCAUUUUUGUGUCCACUUGAUGAACAAGUGAAUAAUAUCAAAAAAGUAUGAAGUUUGGUUUCUAGACACUUUAAGUGGUAUAGAUCAUGUUCAACAGUACCGAUCGUCGAUUUAGAAGCUCCAUCAUAAAAAACAAAUGGGUGGUAACGGAGCCCGUUUGCUACCGAUAGCAUUCCAGCUCAACUCUCUCUCUCUAUAUAUAUAGAGUCCGGCUGGGAUACUAUCGAUAGCAUCAAAGAUUUGGUGCUAUCGAGUUUUUCACAGUUAGAUUUAACGCUUCGAUUAUUUUUACCCGUUAGAUUAUACUAUUCAACCAACCACCCACUCAACUCUAGAGGGCUCACAUCAUUCUAACCGCACGUUUUUCAAUCCAAGGGCUAAAAAAUUAAUAGCACAAAUAGUUUGGUGCUAUUAAUAGUAUUCCAGCCUAGUUCUAUAUAUAUAUAGAGUCCGGCUGGGAUGCUAUCGAUAACACGAAGCAUUUAGUGGUAUCAAGUUUUCUGCCGUUAGAUUUAACCCUUUAACUAUUUUUAUCCGUUAGAUUAUACUAUUCAACCAAGAACUCACUCAACCCUAGGGGUCCACAUUAUCCUAACUGUACAUUUCUUCAUCCAAGGGUAGAAAACCUAAUAGCACCAAUAGCCUGGUGCUAUUGACAGUAUUCCAGCAUAUAUAUAUA
rnacentral:lncRNA from 1 species